GUGGACCGAAUGCUAGUCGAAGGA
rnacentral:piRNA from 1 species